GUAUUACCGCGGCGGCUGGCACGGAGUUAGCCGGUGCUUCUUCUGUUGCUAACGUCAAGAUGCGCAGCUAUUAACUACACACCCUUCCUCACAACUGAAAGUACUUUACAACCCGAAGGCCUUCUUCAUACACGCGGCAUGGCUGCAUCAGGCUUUCGCCCAUUGUGCAAUAUUCCCCACUGCUGCCUCCCGUAGGAGUCUGGACCGUGUCUCAGUUCCAGUGUGGCUGAUCAUCCUCUCAGACCAGCUAGGGAUCGUCGCCUUGGUGAGCCAUUACCUCACCAACUAGCUAAUCCCACCUAGGCAUAUCUUGACGCGAGAGGCCCGAAGGUCCCCCUCUUUGGCCCGUAGGCAUCAUGCGGUAUUAGCCAUCGUUUCCAAUGGUUAUCCCCCACAUCAAGGCAAUUUCCUAGGCAUUACUCACCCGUCCGCCGCUCGACGCCCAUUAACGCACCCGAAGGAUUGUUAGUGUCGUUUCCGCUCGACUUGCAUGUGUUAGGCCUGCCGCCAGCGUUCAAUCUGAGCCAGGAUCAAACUCU
rnacentral:rRNA from 2 species